CCUACGGGCGGCAGCAGUGGGGAAUAUUGCACAAUGGGGGAAACCCUGAUGCAGCGACGCCGCGUGAGUGAAGAAGUAAUUCGGUAUGUAAAGCUCUAUCAGCAGGGAAGAAAAUGACGGUACCUGAGUAAGAAGCCCCGGCUAACUACGUGCCAGCAGCCGCGGUAAUACGUAGGGGGCAAGCGUUAUCCGGAUUUACUGGGUGUAAAGGGAGCGUAGACGGCAGUGCAAGUCUGGAGUGAAAGGCGGGGGCUCAACCCCCGGACUGCUCUGGAUACUGUACGGCUGGAGUGCAGGAGAGGUAAGUGGAAUUCCUGGUGUAGCGGUGAAAUGCGUAGAUAUUAGGAGGAACACCAGUGGCGAAGGCGGCUUACUGGACUGUAACUGACGUUGAGGCUCGAAAGCGUGGGGAGCAAACAGGAUUAGAUACCCGAGUAGUC
rnacentral:rRNA from 1 species